AUCGAUGGAGAGUUUGAUCCUGGCUCAGGACGAACGCUGGCGGCGUGCUUAACACAUGCAAGUCGAACGGUG
rnacentral:rRNA from 1 species